GCACUCAGUUCAGGCGUGCUUAUGCUAAAGUUAGAACAAUCCUGAGACUAUUAGCAUGGUUGCUGAGCAAGGACAACAGGCGAAUUCAUGAAGUGUCUCAGUCUUCG